CGGUAUCGAAAAUACCGGUGCAGUCAUCAAGCCGUCACUAGGGGGUUCUAACGAUAUUAUCGGACUCAGUGCUGUACCGGACUCAAUACCUUGCUAGAAACGUUAGGCCCUUUAACAAGAUUCCGACUCGUGACCUAGACAAGUCUCCAGGUCUGGCCAGAAACUUCGAAUUUGCUCAGCUGUCGCCAAGGCAUACGUUACUUGGCUGGCUUCCUCCGGAACCCAAUGUGGAGGGCCAUCUCACUUAUAAUGUCCAGUAUGGCGAGACAGAAGUCAUUGAAGACAUACCUGGGAAACAACCUCACGAAGAAUACCACGUAUCCAAUGAGUAUUCGUGCUGGCGUGGUGCUGAAAAAUGGCACUAAACUGUAUGGGCCACCACUGAACAAUUCGUUUACCACGCUCGUGGAAGAUUAUGCUCCAGCAACGAAUAUCCGUCUCGCGCACACCUAUUCGAGCCGGCGAAGCCAUCCAGCCUAGAGUAACUACGCCUCGUACAGGAUCGCGUGGAGAGCCGAGCGAGGACCGAAGGACGUCGACAAUUUCACCGUGCUCAUAUGCCUGAAAACUAGCUGUGUCAUUACUAAAACACAGAAAAAUCAAACAUUAUGCUCCAGCCUUCUCGAACGUACGAUAUCAGAAUUCAAUCAAACUACCAUCUUCCUCUGAACCAGAUGCGUCAAGAAGAGUCUUAAUAUCGUUCACCACAGAUGCGACUUCAGACACUAAAGCGCCAGAAGCUCCAAAAAACUUGCAAUUUACUCCGUUGACAUUAACGAAUGUGCUACUCCGUUGGGAUCCUUCAUAUUCGUAGGACAAUGCUGACGUUUCUUAUGAUAUAAAAUUCGCUGGUAGACUGAUUAAAGGCUAGACGGCAACAACGUUUACGGCAUUCAAUUUGAAGAAGAGAAAUAAAAAGUAUUCGGUUGUUAGUACUCCAUUCGUAACGUUGAAAAAUGGCAAAAAACUAUAUGGACCAGCACUUCACAGCACGUCCAUCACGCUUUCAAAAGACCGAGCAGGAACCAAGACUACUAGAUAACUUCACCGUGUUUGCAUGUUACACGAGGAUAAACUGUACGUCUGAGCUGACCAAGCAUACGUCUUGACAUGAGGCCUCAAUAUCCUCGAAGGUUCAGAACAUAUUCGGUUAGUGUCGUUGCAAAAUUAAAGGCUGAACUUGGCGAACGAACGUAUGGACCGCCGCUGAACGGCUCUUUUACCGCAGUCGUUGAAGAUUUUUUUUUACAGAUUACCCUUAUAUGUCAAACGUUAAUAUUUUUGGCCUGGUCAGGUUUAUAAACUGGGUAAAAUUCACGGUGGAGUGGAAACUUCUCAGCUCCACGCGGCGACCAAAUGGAUAUAUCGUGUAUUCUAUAUGGGAGAGACAUUCAGAUCGCGAAAACGCCAGCAGUAAGCUACAGAGGAAGUCGUCUGCUCGUCAGUCACGCAGUUCAGCCCUUCGAACUAAGUAUAAUGGACCGUCAAUAGCACAAAGCCACACUGACGUGUUUGUGAAAUAUUUCCGGUUAUUAUUCCGGUCAUUUCAGCGAGAUAAGGCCGUGUUCAGAAAUGUAUCGACAAGGGUUAACAUCCUUGCAAUAGAGCCGGGUCCUGUAUGGAGGAUUAGCACUAAUGCUACUUCUAGUAGAGCAACGCUCGUGUGGAAACGUCCCAAAAACGUACCACACGAGAUCAUUUGUCACAUCAUCGAUGCUAAAAGUCACAUCAACUUAGCGUUAUAUCUAUAUGAAAGUAACAUUUGAAAAUCAGGAUUUCGACGGGGUUUCGCAAGCCUUCGAUUUUAAAACAGACGUUGGAGUUCCUGGCGCCGUGCAGGAACUGUACGCAUGUCGGCGGGAUGCACUGGCAUAGUAAGUGGCUCUCAAAGGUAACACAUCUGCAAGGAAAAGCUGCCGGAAAAAUGACUGACCUCCACAUUUUGUGGAAGCGGCCUAAAUAUCUCUAUGGCCCACUGGACGGCUUUGAAGUGCAAAUUUUUAAUAAUAUGAACGACAACUUCACGCUACCAGGAUACCAAAAUUCAUUUAUAUUCACUAUAAACAAAGUGCAUCAAAUGUAAGUAUA
rnacentral:lncRNA from 1 species